rnacentral:tRNA from 1 species
AGCAGAGUGGCGCAGCGGAAGCGUGCUGGGCCCAUAACCCAGAGGUCCAUGGAUCGAAACCAUGCUCUGCUA